rnacentral:rRNA from 1 species
CCCCUCGCGGGGGUCUCACUGCCGUGUCCCGCGCCCACCUGGCCGGUACCUAAUCGCCCGGGUGCCCUUCGCUGGGUGUCCGGUGCAGCCGGCUGGUUUACUUUGAAAAAAUUAGAGUGUUCAAAGCAGGCGCCCCGCCUGCAUACCGUCGCAUGGAAUAAUGGAAUAGGACCUCGGUUCUAUUUUGUUGGUUGUUGGAGUCGAGGUAAUGAUCAAUAGGGACGGCCGGGGGCAUUCGUAUUGCGCCGUUAGAGGUGAAAUUCUUGGAUCGGCGCAAGACGAACUAGAGCGAAAGCAAUUGCCAAGAGCGUCUUCUUUAAUCAAGAGCGACAGUCAGAGGUUCGAAGACGAUCAGAUACCGUCGUAGUUCUGACCAUAAACGAUGCCAGCUGGCGAUGUGCCGGAGUUGUAUCAUAUGACUCUGCACGCAGCCCCCGGGAAACCAAAGCUUUUGGGUUCCGGGGGAAGUAUGGUUGCAAAGCUGAAACUUAAAGGAAUUGACGGAAGG